rnacentral:rRNA from 1 species
GACGAACGCUGGCGGCGUGCUUAACACAUGCAAGUCGAGCGGUAAGGCCCUUUCGGGGGUACGACGAGCGGCGAACGGGUGAGUAACACGUGGGUGACCUGCCUUCAGCUCUGGGAUAAGCCUGGGAAACUGGGUCUAAUACCGGAUAUGACUCCAUGAUGCAUGUUGUGGGGUGGAAAGCCUUGUGCGGCUGGGGAUGGCCCGCGGCCUAUCAGCUUGUUGGUGGGGUGAUGGCCUACCAAGGCGA